rnacentral:rRNA from 1 species
AUGGUGAACCGCAACUUCAUCACCAUGCAGCAGAAUUUUGACAAAAUUCAAGAGAACUUCAGACGCCUGCUACUAGACCCUGAACAUGAAGAAACUGAUGAUCAAUCUGCUCAAGGCAGUGUGCAGGUCAAGGACACAGUGAACAAGUCUCCUGUAGCACCACUUGGUAGACCUAAGCAGCUACAGGUACCCACACCACCUUCAGUUACCAUGCCAGAGAAACAACACCCCCCUGCAGUGGGUACAGCUACACUAAGGGACCAACAUGGCAAGGAGCUCAAUUUGGACGGCACGGCCAAAGUUCCUUAUAGGCACCCUAAUUUUGGCCAUCCAAGAGCAGAUCAGGCUACAGCUGGAGGUCACGCAGCUGCAGGAGCUCAGGGAACACAACAAGCACCUGUUCAAUUAGAAGAACUGGAGGCAGAACAUGAGUUAGAGGCCAACUUCCAAAGAUCAAGACCUGCUACACCUAUUGAUUGCAGAAGGAAUGUACUGACAGUCAAGCCCGCAAAACUGAACUUAUCUGAAUUUGAAGGUGAUGACCCUGACUCUUGGAUCCAGAACUUAGAGCAAUACUUUUCUGCUGCAAGAACACCAGUAGAACACAGGAGUGAACUAGCUGUAUCAUAUCUCAAGGGGCCUGCAGCCCAAGUGUUAGGCAUUCUGCAAGACAACCAACUAUAUGCCAAGAUGGACAAAUGCUUUUUCGGCCAAUCUGAAGUAGAAUACUUAGGCCAUGUCAUUAACAAGGAUGGAGUGGCCACGGAUCCUGCAAAAAUACUUGCAAUUCAGGAAUGGCCAGCACCCACAAAUGUCACUGAACUCAGGAGUUUUCUGGGAUUAAGUGGAUAUUAUAGGAGAUUCAUACAAGGAUAUGGUGUUAUAUGCAGACCCCUCUUUGACUGCUUGAAGAAAGAUGCAUUUUCUUGGACAGAUCAACAGCAACAAGCCUUCUUAACACUUAAGGAGAAACUGACAAAUGCACCUGUUCUAGCACUACCCAACUUCACCAAACCUUUCAUAUUGGAGGCUGAUGCUUGUGGAUAUGGACUCGGGGCUGUAUUAAUGCAAGGCAAAGCUAUUUCCUAUUUCAGCAAAAGCAUUGGACCUAAAGCAGCAGUCCUUAUCUACAUAUGA